UACGUAGGGAGCAAGCGUUAUCCGGAUUUACUGGGUGUAAAGGGCGCGCAGGCGGGCCGGUAAGUUGGAAGUGAAAUCUAUGGGCUUAACCCAUAAACUGCUUUCAAAACUGCUGGUCUUGAGUGAUGGAGAGGCAGGCGGAAUUCCGUGUGUAGCGGUGAAAUGCGUAGAUAUACGGAGGAACACCAGUGGCGAAGGCGGACUGCUGGACAUUAACUGACGCUGAGGCGCGAAAGCGUGGGGAGCAAACAGG
rnacentral:rRNA from 1 species